rnacentral:rRNA from 1 species
AUACGAAGGGGGCUAGCGUGGUUCGGAAUUACUGGGCGUAAAGCGCGCGUAGGCGGACUGAUCAGUUGGGGGUUAAAUCCCAGGGCUUAACCCUGGAACUGCCUCCAAUACUGUCAGUCUUGAGUUCGGGAGAGGUGAGUGGAAUUCCUAGUGUAGAGGUGAAAUUCGUAGAUAUUAGGAAGAACACCAGUGGAGAAGGCGGCUCACUGACCCGAUACUGACGCUGAGGCGCGAAAGCGUGGGGAGCAAACAGGAUUAGAAACCCUAGUAGUCC